rnacentral:rRNA from 1 species
CCGAAGCCUGUGGCCGUUUGGUCCCUAGGCAAUGUGGUGUUCAGGUUGGCUCGCGGGGAUACUGCUCCAUCCUAAGUCCUAUAAUGAGUAAGGUUACUCGGACAUGGCCCAUUGAGGGUGAAAGGCCCGUGGGGGUGGAGAGUCAGACUGGCCAGUAUCUCCCUGAGCAGACCUUGGAGUCGGGUUGUUUGUGAAUGCAGCCCAAAGUGGGUGGUAAACUCCAUCCAAGGCUAAAUACUAGCACGAGUCCGAUAGCGAACAAGUACCGUGAGGGAAAGUUGAAAAGUACUUUGAAGAGAGAGUAAACAGUGCGUGAAACCGUUCAGAGGUAAACGGGUGGAGUUGAACUGCAAGCUCUGAGGAUUCAACUGGUGAGAUUGGCGUGAGCUUGGUCACGUGAGUGGUAUUGCCGUGUCUGCUUAGCUGCAGGUCCUCGCUUCGGUGGGGAUGCGCGUCUAGCUUAUCAAGCUUUGCGCGCACGGGAACUUUUCGAACUCGCUUGCCAGUGCACUUUCUCAGAGUGUUCACCACGACCGGCGUUGUCGUCUGGCUGGUGCGGUUAAACCGGUCUUGUAGGGUCCUUGUGGCCUUGCUUGGUCGGGAUGGCAGGUAGCCCGUUGUGUAUUUCUAUAUGCUUCGGGUGUAAUAGCCGACUGCAUCGGUUCUGUGCGGUACGUCGGAGACGGCGGCUUGUUGUGCGU